rnacentral:rRNA from 1 species
AGAGUUUGAUCCUGGCUCAGGAUGAACGCUAGCUACAGGCUUAACACAUGCAAGUCGAGGGGCAGCAUACGAAAGCUUGCUUUGUUGAUGGCGACCGGCGCACGGGUGAGUAACGCGUAUCCAACCUUCCCUGUAGUAGAGAAUAGCCCGGCGAAAGUCGGAUUAAUGCUCUAUGUUGUAUUUCGAUGACAUCUGAAGAAUACCAAAGGCUUACCGCUAUAGGAUGGGGAUGCGUCUGAUUAGGUUGUUGGCGGGGUAACGGCCCACCAAGCCUACGAUCAGUAGGGGUUCUGAGAGGAAGGUCCCCCACAUUGGAACUGAGACACGGUCCAAACUCCUACGGGAGGCAGCAGUGAGGAAUAUUGGUCAAUGGACGGAAGUCUGAACCAGCCAAGUAGCCGUGCAGGAUGACGGCCCUAUGGGUUGUAAACUGCUUUUAUAUAGGGAUAAAGUCGGGGACGUGUCCCCGUUUGUAGGUACUAUAUGAAUAAGGACCGGCUAAUUCCGUGCCAGCCGCUGC